UUCGCCCUUAGAGUUUGAUCCUGGCUCAGAACGAACGCUGGCGGCGUGGAUAAGACAUGCAAGUCGAACGUGGCGGUAGCAAUACCGUCAAGUGGCGCAAGGGUGCGUAACACGUGGGUAAUUUGCCGAGAAGUGGGGGAUAGCUCGCCGAAAGGCGAAUUAAUACCGCAUGUGACCAGGGCUGACAUCAGCCUAACGUCAAAGCCGGGGCAACCUGGCGCUUCUUGAUAAGCCCGCGGCCUAUCAGCUAGUUGGCGAGGUAACGGCUCACCAAGGCAUUGACGGGUAGCUGGUCUCAGAGGACGACCAGCCACACUGGAACUGAGACACGGUCCAGACACCUACGGGUGGCAGCAGUCGAGAAUUUUUCUCAAUGGGGGAAACCCUGAAGGAGCGACGCCGCGUGGAGGAUGAAGGUCUUCGGAUUGUAAACUCCUGUCAUUUGAGAACAAGUGUAGGCGAGUAACUACCGCUUACUUGAUAGUAUCAGAAGAGGAAGAGACGGCUAACUCUGUGCCAGCAGCCGCGGUAAUACAGAGGUCUCAAGCGUUGUUCGGAUUCAUUGGGCGUAAAGGGAGCGUAGGCGGUUCCGUAAGUCGGAUGUGAAAUCCUGGGGCUUAACCUCAGAACUGCAUUCGAUACUGCGGAGCUAGAGGACUGGAGAGGUGAGUGGAAUUCACGGUGUAGCAGUGAAAUGCGUAGAUAUCGUGAGGA
rnacentral:rRNA from 1 species